UCAAAAAUUGUUGUAUUACUCAUGCAAUUCAAUGAGCGCAGAGAUUAUAAAUACCAGCAUCGUUCUCGAAAGAUCUAAGAUUUUUAUUUUUAUUGUAUAAGUCUUCGGGAAUAAUCAAUAAGAAAAACGAAUCAAGGGAAAUAACCAGGCCAUGUAAAAAAAGAACUGUUUUAAAAUUAGUGUGUUAUGUGUAUCAACAAGUUAACCAAUCGCCUUGACAAUGCUAUAAAUAGAUCCGUAUAAAAGGAUUGUUAGACUCUAAAAUGACAAUAACUAUUGGAGACGGCAGGACUGGUUUGUAAACCUUCAAGAAUUAAGUUUCUAUUCCGUCCAAUAGGUGUCUUCGAAAGUUCAUAUUAUCUCGAAAAUAGACACAUUAUAAACUCUAUAGUUUAAACAUGGAUCUAAGUAAUGGUGAAAUUGCUGGGAUUGUGAUAGCGAUAGUGAUAUUUGUUGGAUUGAUCCUUUUCAUUAUAAUCAAAAAAAGAAGGAACAAUUCAUCUGAGAGUAACUACAAGAAAGGAGGAAUAAGUGAGAAGUACAAAGUAGAAACGAAUCAAACCCCUUCAAGAAACAACAGUUUGCGAAAUUAAUUCUGCACUUGUUUUUUUUUAUUUUUAUUAUUAUUAUUUUCUUAUUACUAAGGGCACUCAUUGACACUAAUUGCUUAAGUGGUGUCCUUACUUUUACGAUCAGUUGGUCAUAAUCAUUACCAGAACAGCUGUUACGUCCUGCAGCCUGACCUAGUGGUGUCCUUACUUUUACGAUCAGUUGGUCAUAAUCAUUACCAGAACAGCUGUUACGUCCUGCAGCCUGACCUAGUGGUGUCCAUACUUUUACGAGCCGUUGGUCAUAAUCAUUACCAGAACAGCUGUUACGUCCUCCAGCCUGACCUACAGUCGUCGAGACUAAAAAAGUCAAUCCUCGACAGCUUGAUUCCGUUCUGCAUUUGCUUGAUGUCACGAUUCACAC
rnacentral:sRNA from 1 species